ACUCAGAACAGCUGCUUCUUUUUGGCUUCUGGUGGCAGGGACACCACAGAGGUAAUUUAUUGCACUUCUAAAGACAUUGCGUUUCUUUCCAUGCUGGAACUCCCAGUCUGUGCAUGCCUGUCCUGCUUCCCCUUCACUCUUCUGCAACUGUAGCUUGGAAAUAACGUCUAAAUGCAUCGUCAAGCUUCAUAUUGAGUUCUGGGGGAAUAACUGUGCCAGAGGAGCUGCAAAAUAUGAAGCUAAGUAAUUCAAUUGCCCUAUAAUGAAAACCAGCUUAUUCUUAGCUCUGCCGUCAGGUGGUCCUGGAUGACUCUCUCACUGAAGACCUCCAUAUGAAGCCCUACUUGAGAAAUCAGCUUUGUUUUUAAGCACCAAAUUUUCCCCUGGGAGAAAAGGUUUUCUCCUCUUUUGAGACCAGUACUUUCUAUGUUUUCCUGAAGCUGUCAAGAAAGUUAGUGCUGGAUUUGAAGCCCAAAUAUAGCAAUUUGGGAAUCAGAA